rnacentral:rRNA from 1 species
UACGUAGGCAGCAAGCGUUGUUCGGAAUUACUGGGCGUAAAGAGUGUGUAGGCGGUGCUCCAAGUCUGGUGUGAAAUCUCCCGGCUUAACUGGGAGGGUGCAUUAGAAACUGGAAUGCUAGAGGAUGGGAGAGGUAAGCGGAAUUCCUGGUGUAGCGGUGAAAUGCGUAGAUAUCAGGAGGAACACCUGUGGUGUAGACAGCUUACUGGACCAUUUCUGACGCUGAGACACGAAAGCGUAGGUAGCGAACAGG